ACAUGAAUGUGCAAUUAUUACGAAAGGGUAUUACUAUAGUUAUUAUGAUUCGUUCUUUAAUAAUGCAUUCAAUUAAAUUUUUUUAAUUGCUAGAUCAAUGUUUAAAAGUCUCCAACAGUAUCAGCUGACCCCAUGUGAACUUUGCAGUAUAUGGGUUGAUAGGAGUUCCAGACAGUGUCUCUGCAGGGGGUGCUGGCAUUACAUGUGUGUGUGUGUGUGUGUGUGUGUGUUGUGGUUGUUGGCGGCCGGUGGAAGAACUGAGUACCUGUCAGCAUCCAAUCCAAAAGAAAACAAAGAUAUUACAACCGUUUAGACGAGAAAGGUCAGAUUACGCACACACGAUUACUUAUCUAAAUGAAGACCACAGCCAUCUGUUUUUUUAUUUUUAUGCUAAUUGUGAACACUGCAAACUAACCUUAAACCCAAACUGCAUUUUUUAAAUAAACACAACAUUAUUUAAA